CAAGGUUUCCUGCGCAACGUUCAUCGGCGCAGGGUUAGUCGGCCCCUAAGGCGAGGCCGAAAGGCGUAGUCGAUGGGAACCAGGUUAAUAUUCCUGGGCCAUGAGGUGGUGACGGAUCUCGAAGGUAGUUCAUCCUUAUUGGAUUGAAUGGGCUGCUGAGAGGUUCCUGGAAAUAGCCCCUCUAUAAGAUCGUACCCUAAACCGACACAGGUGGACUGGUAGAGUAUACCAAGGCG
rnacentral:rRNA from 1 species